GCUGGGUGUAGUGGCAUGCACCUGUAGUCCCGGCUACUUGGGAGGCUGAGGUGGGAAGAUCACUUGAGCCCAGGAGGUCGAGGCUACAGUGAGCAGGGAUCAUGCCACUGUACUCCAGCCUGAUCAACAGAGUGAGACCCCAUCUCAA
ensembl:misc_RNA Metazoa_SRP Metazoan signal recognition particle RNA